AUUAUUGGGAGUGUAAAUAUUUGUUAGUAGAUAAGGAAUAUGAAAACAAAAAGUUAUGGCGGUAUCUUAAGCUUUUCAGAGGAAUUUGCUCUUUAAUGGAUAAAACACCAAAAUCUUACUAAAUUUAGUUAAGUCAGUUUGUAUACCACUAUGCAAGCAAUUAUUAAUUAUAAUUGCUGUAAUUUUUAAAAAAAAAAAUAAAUUAAGUCAAGGUGCAGCAAAAAAUUUAGGAUGAAGUGAAUUACAGAGCUUUUUAGAAAUUUAAAUUUUGAAUUAAAUAAAUUUUAGGAUUUGAAAGUAAAAGUUUUAAUAAAAUGAUUAUUUGAAUUAAGUUCUGAGAUAUGUAC
rnacentral:rRNA from 1 species